AUGAACGCUGGCGGCGUGCCUAAUACAUGCAAGUCGCGCGAACGGACGAGAAGCUUGCUUCUCUGAUGUUAGCGGCGGACGGGUGAGUAACACGUGGAUAACCUACCUAUAAGACUGGGAUAACUUCGGGAAACCGGAGCUAAUACCGGAUGAUAUUUUGAACCGCAUGGUUCAAAAGUGAAAGACGGUCUUGCUGUCACUUAUAGAUGGAUCCGCGCUGCAUUAGCUAGUUGGUAAGGUAACGGCUUACCAAGGCAACGAUGCAUAGCCGACCUGAGAGGGUGAUCGGCCACACUAGAACUGAGACACGGUCAAGACUCCUACGGGAGGCAGCAGUAGGGAAUAUUCCGCAAUGGGCGAAAGCCUGACGGAGCAACGCCGCGUGAGUGAUGAAGGUCUUCGGAUCGUAAAACUCUGUUAUUAGGGAAGAACAUAUGUGUAAGUAACUGUGCACAUCUUGACGGUACCUAGUCAGAAAGCCACGGCUAACUACGUG
rnacentral:rRNA from 1 species